AAAUUAUCCUCAUAAGUUAGACAAUAAGAGGUACCAUUUAGGUAUUUAAUUAUUAAGACUUCUUUAUCUUCUUUAUUGCUUCUAACGAAGUAAUAGUUAUAGGUUUUAUGAAUAAUAAUAAUUUAUAAAUAGAUGGUGGCACAUAAUCGGAGGCCCCGACUGUUUACUAAAAACACAACACAGUGCAAUCAUUAAUGUGAUAGUAUACUGUGUGAAAUUUGCCCAAUGCCAUUAAUAUAAAUGCGGUCAUAGGAAACUGUGACUAAAUGAAAAUCUGGUUAAUAGCGGUCUUAACCAUGAGGAUCCUAAGGUAGCAAAAUAAAUUGGCCAUUAAAUGUGGUCCGGUAUCAAUAAUGUAACGAUGGCCUCACUGUCUCUACAACUUGCUCAGUGAAAUUGAAUUACGCGUGCAGAUGCGCGUUACCUCCAGUGGGACGGGAAGACCCUAUGCACUUUCU
rnacentral:rRNA from 1 species